rnacentral:misc_RNA from 1 species
AACGCACAUUGCGCUCUCUGGUAUUCCGGAGAGCAUGCCUGUUUGAGUAUCAGUUGACCAUUCUCAAGCUGCAUGCAUACAUGACUCUUAGGCAGAGGAAUGUGUGUGUGGGGGGGGGGGUAGCAUGGAAGUGAGUGUUCCCGGUAUGAGUGCUCUGGCGCUGUAAUUGGGAGACUUGAAACUGAUCUAGCGGGGGGGGGCAGCGGUCAUUAAGGAUCGGCUCGUUGCAGGUGUACUAGUUGGAGGCGUCGUCGUCGCGAGACGGUGUUUUCAUUUUUAGCACCAACACAUUAAUGUGUGUCGUAACGUUCCCAGAUCUGACAACUGUCGCCGACAAACGCGCAGGAACUUGGAUGCGGGCGCAAGCCCAACUCUUAAUUCUUGAUCUCAAAUCAGGUAGGAUUACCCGCUGAACUUAA